UACGUAGGGUGCAAGCGUUGUCCGGAAUUAUUGGGCGUAAAGAGCUCGUAGGCGGCUUGUCGCGUCGGAUGUGAAAGCCCGGGGCUUAACCCCGGGUCUGCAUUCGAUACGGGCAGGCUAGAGUUCGGUAGGGGAGAUCGGAAUUCCUGGUGUAGCGGUGAAAUGCGCAGAUAUCAGGAGGAACACCGGUGGCGAAGGCGGAUCUCUGGGCCGAUACUGACGCUGAGGAGCGAAAGCGUGGGGAGCGAACAGG
rnacentral:rRNA from 1 species